GUUCACCGAAAUCACGAUACUUGUGCUUCUCUGUAAGCACAAAUAUUGCGUUGUGCAGUUUGCACACAAUCAAGAUUGCCAACGUUUGCGAAUGUACACCACUGUGUCAAGUGUCAAAUCAACUUAUGGUGUAAAGUGUUUGGUGCUAGUAAACUUAUCAUUGAACUUUUGACGGGCAGCGAGUCUUCCAGCACAUAGUAAAUAUUACCUGACGCAGUGUUACAACAGAUGUUUCACUUACAUCAGGAGAUGAGUCUGGUCGGCAAUGGAAGGAUCCAAUUAACAUUUUAUGCCCACCCCUGAUACUGAGUCAAUGAUACACCUGACCCACCAUAAGAUCAACAGAUAUCAGAAGCAUGAAGAAAUGUUACAGUCUCAAAAUUGAUGAUGAUGUUUUCAGGGCCUCAAAUACAUUACUGUAUGAUAAAAUCCAAAAAUUAAUAUACUGUGCAUCAUUCAGAAUCCCACAAAUUAGGUUUCACUGUCAGUAUAACUACAACAUAUUUUGAUGUCCGACCUAAUUUUACUGUAUAGUGAGUGAAUUGGCAUAUGUGAGGAGUGUGCUACCAUCUAGUGGGAUUUAUGGCAAGUGAACACGGAUAAAAGUCUGCUGCAGUGUGCUACCACCUGGUAGUAUUGAAUGUUUUUCAGAUGGGCUGAGAAGAGGACAUCAAAAUGUGUGUGCAGCAUAGUUGCAUGCUUACAAGGCCUUGAGUCAAGUUUUCCGGACAGACUGGAAUUGGUGUAAGGGGUUUGUGGUCCAGCAGUCACCAGUGGAUAUCGUUAGUGUGUGCAACGAUGUAGAGAAAAACUAUGUUUUAUAGGAUAAGUUAUAUGCACCAAAUUGUGUGAAAAUCAAAGAACAUUGUGUAGAGAUCGACCGAGUGAGGCAGUGUAGCUGUUAAAGAUACUGACCUUAUAGUUGUAAGGAUGGAGUUCACUUCCUCAACAGUGCCACAGCUAAGUGACUGUCCUGUCUUCAUGUAAACGUAUACUCUAUGUGUAUGUAUAUUUUGAGCUAUUUGUUUAAAUUGUAUUAUGAUAACAAAACUUACAUCUUCGUAAGAUA